rnacentral:rRNA from 1 species
GUGCCAGCAGCCGCGGUAAAACGUAGGUACCGAGCGUUAUCCGGAUUUACUGGGCGUAAAGCGCGUUCAGGCGGUCUGGCAAGUCGGGCAUGAAAUCUCUCGGCUCAACCGGGAGGGGUUGUCCGAUACUGCUGGACUGGAGGGCAGUAGAGGGUGGUGGAAUUCCGGGUGUAGUGGUGAAAUGCGUAGAGAUCCGGAGGAACACCAGUGGCGAAAGCGGCCACCUGGACUGUACCUGACGCUCAAACGCGAAAGCUAGGGGAGCGAACGGGAUUAGAUACCCUUGUAGUCC